UACGUAGGGUGCAAGCGUUAAUCGGAAUUACUGGGCGUAAAGCGUGCGCAGGCGGUUUUGUAAGUCUGACGUGAAAUCCCCGGGCUCAACCUGGGAAUUGCGUUGGAGACUGCAAGGCUAGAAUCUGGCAGAGGGGGGGUAGAAUUCCACGUGUAGCAGUGAAAUGCGUAGAGAUGUGGAGGAACACCGAUGGCGAAGGCAGCCCCCUGGGUCAAGAUUGACGCUCAUGCACGAAAGCGUGGGGAGCAAA
rnacentral:rRNA from 1 species